AUGCUUCUCAUAUGUCCCUUCUGGGAAUGAGACGGGCUGGUUGGCAGUGCACAGCAGCAGAGGGCCUUCUGUUCAUGAUGCCACUGUAGCUGCUUUGAUUGACAGGGUGCAGACUGUGAAGCCCCUCCUCCUGGAAGUCUCAGGCAUACCGAAUCUGAGCAAAGAAUUUUUUUUAUGGUUUUCAUUACAUUUAGCGGGAACUCUGGUCCUCAGGGUCUGCAUAAUAUAUCUGUUAUGGCCAUAUUACCUGCUGCUGGAUUGUACCAUUUAAAUGUGACUGUGACAAACAGAAUCUACACUCAUUCUGCCAGCUGGAAGAUUAGAGCGUGUCCCUUUGGGACUGAGUGCUUGAAUCUCAUGUUGUCCAAGAGCGAUCAGGAUAUCCCAUCUUGUGCCCCUCUGCCCACAGAGGCAGAGGAGAAGCAGUGGGGUAAAGCCUCAACAAAAUCUACAGACAGUCACAAGCGAGGUGUGAGGUCACAGGCAUUCAUAAAGAAAAGCUACUCUGUUAUACAAACUUAUCACUGCUUUUUAUACUUUUCUGCUCUGUAUGUGUGCUGUGUAUUACAGCUAUUUCGAUCUCUUCUGAAAAACGGGCAUAUGCAACAGAGACAGACAUCAAAUUUGUAGCAGUAACAGAAGGGCCUGAUCCUUCUAAUGAUACAUUCAUUAGCAAUUUGGGGAUGGACCAGAAAUAAAAACAACAUAAUCUACA
ensembl:lncRNA